rnacentral:rRNA from 1 species
AGGCUUAACACAUGCAAGUCGAGCGCCCCGCAAGGGGAGCGGCAGACGGGUGAGUAACGCGUGGGAAUCUACCUUUUGCUACGGAAUAACGCAGGGAAACUUGUGCUAAUACCGUAUGUGUCCUUCGGGAGAAAGAUUUAUCGGCAAGAGAUGAGCCCGCGUUGGAUUAGCUAGUUGGUGGGGUAAAGGCCUACCAAGGCGACGAUCCAUAGCUGGUCUGAGAGGAUGAUCAGCCACAUUGGGACUGAGACACGGCCCAAACUCCUACGGGAGGCAGCAGUGGGGAAUAUUGGACAAUGGGCGCAAGCCUGAUCCAGCCAUGCCGCGUGAGUGAUGAAGGCCCUAGGGUUGUAAAGCUCUUUCACCGGAGAAGAUAAUGACGGUAUCCGGAGAAGAAGCCCCGGCUAACUUCGUGCCAGCAGCCGCGGUAAUACGAAGGGGGCUAGCGUUGUUCGGAAUUACUGGGCGUAAAGCGCACGUAGGCGGAUCGAUCAGUCAGGGGUGAAAUCCCAGGGCUCAACCCUGGAACUGCCUUUGAUACUGUCGAUCUGGAGUAUGGAAGAGGUGAAUGGAAUUCCGAGUGUAGAGGUGRAAUUCGUAGAUAUUCGGAGGAACACCAGUGGGCGAAAGCCGG